rnacentral:rRNA from 1 species
GGUGUUUACUGUCGAACUGAACACUCUACCGUUUACUGUCUGGUGGUGCUCUUCACCGAGUGUCACCAGUGGUCGGUACGUUUACUUUGAAAAAAUUAGAGUGCUCAAAGCGGUUUUUACACGACCGAAUACUGUUGCAUGGAAUAAUGAAAUAGGACUUUGGUUCUAUUUUGUUGGUCUUCGGAACCAAGGUAAUGAUUAAGAGGGACAGACGGGGGCAUUAGUAUUGCGACGCUAGAGGUGAAAUUCUUGGACCGUCGCAAGACUAACUAAAGCGAAAGCAUUUGCCAAGAAUGUUUUCAUUAAUCAAGAACGAAAGUUAGAGGUUCGAAGGCGAUCAGAUACCGCCCCAGUUCUAACCAUAAACGAUGCCAACCAGCAAUCAGCCUGUGUUCUCUUGAUGACACGGCUGGCGGCUUCCGGGAAACCAAAGUCUUUCGGUUCCAGGGGAAGUAUGGUUGCAAAGCUGAAACUUAAAGGAAUUGACGGAAGGGCACCACCAGGAGUGGAGCCUGCGGCUUAAUUUGACUCAACACGGGGAAACUCACCCGGCCCGGACACUGUGAGGAUUGACAGGUUGAAGCCCUUUCUUGAUUCAGUGGGUGGUGGUGCAUGGCCGUUCUUAGUUGGUGGAGUGAUUUGUCUGGUUAAUUCCGAUAACGAACGAGACUUUGACCUGCUAAAUAGACACUACAGCCUCGGCUGUAGCUGGGCUUCUUAGAGGGACUUUGCA